rnacentral:rRNA from 1 species
UACGGAGGGCGCAAGCGUUGUUCGGAAUCACUGGGCGUAAAGCGCGUGUAGGCGGUCCGGCAAGUCGGCUGUGAAAGCCCGAGGCUCAACCUCGGAACUGCAGCCGAAACUGCCGGGCUCGAGUCCCGGAGAGGGUGGCGGAAUUUCCGGUGUAGAGGUGAAAUUCGUAGAUAUCGGAAGGAACACCAGAGGCGAAGGCGGCCACCUGGACGGUGACUGACGCUGAGACGCGAAAGCGUGGGGAGCAAACAGG